rnacentral:rRNA from 1 species
AGUGAACGCUGGCGGUAGGCCUAACACAUGCAAGUCGAACGGCAGCACAGUAAGAGCUUGCUCUUACGGGUGGCGAGUGGCGGACGGGUGAGGAAUACAUCGGAAUCUACUUUUUCGUGGGGGAUAACGUAGGGAAACUUACUCUAAUACCGCAUACGACCUACGGGUGAAAGCAGGGGAUCUUCGGACCUUGCGCGAUUGAAUGAGCCGAUGUCGGAUUAGCUAGUUGGCGGGGUAAAGGCCCACCAAGGCGACGAUCCGUAGCUGGUCUGAGAGGAUGAUCGGCCACACUGGAACUGAGACACGGUCCAGACUCCUACGGGAGGCAGCAGUGGGGAAUAUUGGACAAUGGGCGCAAGCCUGAUCCAGCCAUACCGCGUGGGUGAAGAAGGCCUUCGGGUUGUAAAGCCCUUUUGUUGGGAAAGAAAAGCAGCAGGUUAAUACCCCGCUGUUCUGACGGUACCCAAAGAAUAAGCACCGGCUAACUUCGUG